CCUACGGGUGGCAGCAGUGGGGAAUAUUGGGCAAUGGGCGCAAGCCUGACCCAGCAACGCCGCGUGAAGGAAGAAGGCUUUCGGGUUGUAAACUUCUUUUCUGGGGGACGAACAAAUGACGGUACCCCAGGCAUAAGCCUCGGCUAACUACGUGCCAGACGCCGCGGUAAUACGUAGGGGGCAGGCGUUGUCCGGCAUUAUUGGGUGUAAAGGGCGUGUAGGCGGGAAUGCAAGUCAGAAGUGAAAACUAUGGGCUCAACGCAUAGCCUGCAUUUGAAACUGUAUUUCUUGAGUGCUGGAGAGGCAAUCGGAAUUCCGGGUGUAGCGGUGAAAUGCGUAGAUAUACGGAGGAACACCAGUGGCGAAGGCGGAUUGCUGGACAGUAACUGACGCUGAGGCGCGAAAGCGUGGGGAGCAAACAGGAUUAGAUACCCCUGUAGUC
rnacentral:rRNA from 1 species